UCCAGCUGCUACAACUCAUCCGAGAUGACACUGCAGUUGUGCAGGUGUUGAUGUGAGCACUGCUCCAUCGCUUGAAAC
rnacentral:tRNA from 1 species